CAGACACUCAGCCAGUGCAAAUAAUCAUAGAUCCACUGACUUCAGUGGGGCAGAGUGAUUUGCAACAGCUGAGGAUCUCUCCCUAUGACUUCCAUGAAACUAUUCACAUGAGCAAAUGUAGGAAUAGUGAGAGCAUGCCUGUGUAGUGCAAUGGUCCUAGUCAUCUGGGAGAAGUGUGGGAUUGAUGAUGGGUUUAAGAGUCAGAUAAGAAACAGAACGUUGCAGUCACCAGGGGAAGAUAAAACAGGGGGAAACAGCGAGAACCACAGCCAGCCCAGCACUCCAGCCAAUGGGAACUUUAUCACCCAGGCUUUGAUCAUCCCUGCAGCCUGGAGGCAAGGACUAAGUAUGUGUGAUAAGCCCUAAGAGGUAGCAGGAGAGUGGUACAUAAAAGGAGAAAAAGGAAGAGAGAUUUAGAUGUUGGGAAAGGCUAGAGGAAGAAGAAAACACAUAAAAUGAGGGGAGGAGAAAAGUAACUACAACCACCAUGGCCCAUUCCUUGUGAGGAUACAGCUGAGGAAGUCAACUGAACCUUAUUACCCAGACAGAUAUUCAUACCAGCUCAAGAUAGAAUUUGGGCAUAAACUUAGCUGAUUUUACCUACCUUUCCAGAAGUAGGACAUCCCUGAAUCUGGCUAAAUCUUAUUCCCCUUACUCGUGAAAAACUCUCAUUGGCCAAUAGCAAGAUCUGGCAUCUAUUUCCCACAUGCCAGAAAAAUCCUUUGAAGAAAGAAAUUUCAAUUGAAAUUUCUUUACUAGUUUGACAGAUUAGGCUUAUGAGGUUCAAUACCCACAAAAUAUAGAUUAAGGAGUACAUUUUAGUUAACAUCGUACUUAGAAUAUGCACCCCAGAACAGAUGCAAAUACAACCAUCAAAAGUCAGUCACAUCCAAAUGGCACAGAAAGAUAAAUGUGUGCUAUGACAAGGCAUCCAGUGAGGCUCACAUCAUGGAUACACAGAUAUAGCACGGUAGUGGGUACAAUGGAAUAAAAUGAAACGCAGUGGUCAAGGUUGUUCAUUUAAGAGGUACUCAGCUACAAUCAAAACAAGAGAUUCAUUCUUCAUCUCAGCAGCUUUUAUCCUAAAAGGGCAAAAGGAAGCCAAGUCUGAUGCAUGUGCACAAAGUGCACCCAUACCAUUAAUGUAAAAGCAGACAUCUGAGCCAAUGAACU